GACGAACGCUGGCGGCGUGGAUUAGGCAUGCAAGUCGAGCGACGGACCUUCGGGUUACGGAGCGGCGAACGGGUGAGUAACACGUGAACAACCUACCCCAUUGUUCCGGAUAAUUGGCCGAAAGGACCUUGUAUACGGGCGAGAAUGCAACCUGGGCGAUCCAGGAUGUAUUGAACAAAGCAAUUGGCACUGGGCGGGGUUCGCGGCUUAUCAGGUAGUUGGUGGGGUAACGGCCUACCAAGCCUACGACGAGUAGCUGGUCUGAGAGGAUGGUCAGCCACAUUGGAACUGAGACACUGUCCAGACUCCUACGGGAGGCUGCAGUCGAGAAUCUUGGCAAUGCACGAAAGUGUGACCCAGCGACGCCGCGUGGAGGA
rnacentral:rRNA from 1 species